GACGAACGCUGGCGGCGUGCUUAACACAUGCAAGUCGAACGGAAAGGCCUGCUUUCCCUUGUGUAUUGCGGGUACUCGAGUGGCGAACGGAUGAGUACCACGUGAGUGAUCUUCUCCCAACUUGGGUAUAAGCCUGGGCUACUGCGGCUAAUUCCCUGUAGGACUGCAGUGUGCAGCCUGUGGUGGUAAACGACUUUCUUGAGGUUGGGGAUGAGCUGGCGGCUUAUCAGCUUGUUGGUGGGGUAAUGGCCUACCAAUGCGGGGACGGGUAGCCGGCCUGGGAUGGUGGACCGGAACAGUGGGACGGCGACACGGCCCCGAAGACUACGGGAGGAAGCAGUGGGGAAGAAGGCGCAGUGGGCGGAAGCCUGAUGGAGCGACGCCGAGUGGGGGAUGACGGGCUUGGGGUUGUAAACUCCUGUCGACCGAGAGGAAGCCGCCUGGAUGGAGGGGUGGUGACGGUAGUGGUAGAAGAAGCACCGGCUAACUACGUG
rnacentral:rRNA from 1 species